CAGUAGCGUAUAUUAAAGUUGUUGCAGUUAAAAAGCUCGUAGUUGGAUUUCUGGUUAUAAUCGCUUGGUCGGUCGGCGUUAGUCGCACUAGUACUAGGUUUUUGAUUUUACCAUCCGCUCAUCUUCGUCAUAUGUACCUUUCAUUAGGCCGCAUAUUGUACGGUUGGGCCAUUUACUUUGAAAAAAUUAGAGUGUUUAAAGCAGGCAAUUGCUAUGAAUACAUUAGCAUGGAAUAAUAAUAUAGGACUUUUGUUCUAUCUUGUUGGUUCUAGAACGGAAGUAAUGAUUGAUAGGGACAGUUGGGGGUGCUAGUAUUCCAUGGCCAGAGGUGAAAUUCUUGGAUUCAUGGAAGACUAACUUAUGCGAAAGCAUUCACCAAGGAUGUCUNCUUUAA
rnacentral:rRNA from 1 species